rnacentral:rRNA from 1 species
UACGGAGGGUGCGAGCGUUGUCCGGAAUCACUGGGCUUAAAGGGCGCGUAGGCGGGCAUUCAAGUCUGUGGUGAAAUCCUCCGGCUCAACCGGAGAACUGCCAUGGAUACUGGGUGUCUCGAGGGUGGUAGGGGUAUGCGGAACUAUCGGUGGAGCGGUGAAAUGCGUUGAUAUCGAUAGGAACUCCGGUGGCGAAGGCGGCAUACUGGACCACAUCUGACGCUGAGGCGCGAAAGCCAGGGGAGCGAACGGG